UAGAAAUUAGUUAAAAAAUAACGUUAAUUUGUCAAAUUAAAAUCACUCUUGUAUUUCUAG
rnacentral:tRNA from 1 species